rnacentral:rRNA from 1 species
AGAGUUUGAUCCUGGCUCAGAACGAACGCUGGCGGCGUGCAUAAUACAUGCAAGUCGUGCGAGAAAGCUCCCUUCGGGGAGUGAGUAAAGCGGCAAACGGGUGAGUAACACGUAAGAAAUCUGCCUCCAAAUCUGGAAUAGCUCUGCCAACGCGGAAUUAAUGCCGGAUGUGGUUGUUUAGUCGCAUGGCUUUACAACUAAAGGUGACCUCUUCUUUGAAAGUUACCGUUUGGAGAUGAUCUUGCGGCCCAUUAGCUUGUUGGUGAGGUAACGGCUCACCAAGGCUACGAUGGGUAGCCGGCCUGAGAGGGUGAUCGGCCACAUUGGGACUGAGAUACGGCCCAGACUCCUACGGGAGGCAGCAGUAGGGAAUUUUGCGCAAUGGACGAAAGUCUGACGCAGCAACGCCGCGUGAGCGAUGAAGGUUUUCGGAUCGUAAAGCUCUGUUGAGUGGGACGAAACGCUGUAGGGUUAAUACCUCUAUAGUCUGACGGUACCAUUCGAGGAAGCCCCGGCCAAAUACGUGCCAGCAGCCGCGGUAAUACGUAUGGGGCGAGCGUUGUUCGGAAUCACUGGGCGUAAAGGGAGUGUAGGCGGAAAUUCAAGUCAGAAGUGUAAUCUUCGGGCUCAACUCGAAACUCGCUUUUGAUACUGUUUUUCUUGAGUAUUGGAGAGGGAGAUGGAAUUCCAGGUGUAGCGGUGGAAUGCGUAGAUAUCUGGAAGAACGCCAGUAGCGAAGGCGAUCUCCUGGCCAAAUACUGACGCUGAGGCUCGAAAGCGUGGGGAGCAAACAGGAUUAGAUACCCUGGUAGUCCACGCCGUAAACGAUGGGCACUAGAUAUCGGGAGAUUCAUUUCUCUCGGUGUCGAAGUUAACGCAUUAAGUGCCCCGCCUGGGGAGUACGCCCGCAAGGGUGAAACUCAAAGGAAUUGACGGGGGCCCGCACAAGCGGUGGAGCAUGCGCUUUAAUUCGAUGCAACGCGAAGAACCUUACCUGGGUUUGACAUGGGAGUGAAAGUCUUUAGAGAUAGAGACCUUUCCUUCGGGAACACUCCACACAGGUGCUGCAUGGUUGUCGUCAGCUCGUGUCGUGAGAUGUUGGGUUAAGUCCCGCAACGAGCGCAACCCUCGCCCUUAGUUGCCAUCAGGUAAUGCUGGGAACUCUAGGGGGACCGCCUGGUUCAACCAGGAGGAAGGUGGGGAUGACGUCAAAUCAUCAUGGCUCUUACGUCCAGGGCUAGACGCGUGCUACAAUGGUCGGUACAGAAGGAUGCCAAGCCGCGAGGUUGAGCUAAUCCAUCAAAACCGGCCUCAGUUCGGAUUGGAGUCUGCAAUUCGACUCCAUGAAGUUGGAAUCGCUAGUAAUCGCGGAUCAGCAUGCCGCGGUGAAUAUGUUCCCGGGCCUUGUACACACCGCCCGUCAAGCCACGAAAGAUGGGAGUGCCCGAAGUCGCUGGCCCAACCCGCAAGGGAGGGGAGCGCCGAAGGUAAGACCAUUGAUUGGGGCUAAGUCGAAACAAGGUA